rnacentral:rRNA from 1 species
UACGUAGGGGGCGAGCGUUGUCCGGAUUUAUUGGGCGUAAAGGGAACGCAGGCGGUUUUUUAAGUCUGAUGUGAAAGCCUUCGGCUUAAUCGAAGUAGUGCAUUGGAAACUAGAAGACUUGAGUGCAGAAGAGGAGAGUGGAACUCCAUGUGUAGCGGUGAAAUGCGUAGAUAUAUGGAAGAACACCAGUGGCGAAAGCGGCUCUCUGGUCUGUAACUGACGCUGAGGUUCGAAAGCGUGGGGAGCAAACAGG